UUGGGCAACACGCCUUCCAUCUACCACCAACCUACCGAAGCGCAGCUCAGACUUGGCAACAAGAGAUCCAGCAGGAAAGUCCCGCCCAGAACAACCAAUGAUAUUGCAUCAAUACCGUCAUCUCUACUCCCUUCAACGGAUCUCCCAUGAACCAUCGAUGACCUGUUCAUGAAUAACUUUCACACGGUGUGUGUGUGUGCAUGCGUAUGGAUCCCCGGUUUACUGACUUCUGGUGCAUUACCUCCCUAUGACUUGCACUUCCUGCAGAGAUGGUCAAAGGAAGCAAGGCCGGUGGUUCCUGGUCCCCUGGCUGAUUCCACCCCCCACGACACCCCAUCCGCCUCCCUUGGACAUCGAGUGAAGCCCCGUCCAUACAGUCAGAUCCCUCCUGGACUCCGGAAUUUGUGGGGUUCGGCUCCAGUACCUAGUGGACUGGAAAGUGUACGGUCCAGAGGAGCAGUGUUGGUUUCGGUGGAUGACAUUCUAGAUCCCAACAUCAUUUGAGGGGAGGGGGGAAGGGUACUGCCACGUCUACUCCUGCUCCCCCGCUCCGGUGGUAGACGUUGUGCAGGUUUACUAACCACAGGACCUGGAAACCCAUCUUUAUGCACACCUGGCAACCGUCAUUACGCACACCUGCAUCUCAUCAUCAGUCACACUUGGACUUCAUAACUCAUCCUUUAUAUAGUACCCUUCUGUUAGUAGUCGUCAGGUAUUAAUGUUUCCAUGUAAGAUGCUUCAUGUUUUGUGUCGUUCCAUGUUCAUUAUUAUUAAACUCACCAACUGCACUUGUUUCUUGACUCCCUGCGCCUACGUUCCAGAUAAAUAUGUAUGUUUUUAAAACCGCAACACCGUCACCUGUUUUGUAUACAACUGAAGGACUGGGCUGUGGAAAUGCAAUCCCUCUCAAAUGCAUAGACUGACAGUCCAUGACAGUUCAAGAGAUAGCAAAAUCACAUGCUAUAACAUUCUAACACCUGUGUAUAACACAUUUUGACUAUCUGUGAACGACAGCCGUGCACCUGGUGAUUGGAACGGGUUACCAGGAGCAAAUCUUUAAAAUGUUUUUUUUGUAUGCCUUUAGGGGGUGCAAGGGGUCUAUGGCUGUGUAGGGAUCACCCCCCACCCAUGCCCACCUAUUUCCCUUUUGGACUUUUUUUUUUUUAAAUCGUUAAAAAUGACAGAGUCCCACUUCUCUCUCAUGUCACCAACGAGUGAUGGAGAGGAACCACUAUCACUGCCCGGACAUUCCGAGUUCAUCGGGCCAGUCAAUUUCACAUUUCUGCAGUAUUUUUGAGCAUGUCAAAUUUGUGAUGAUAAAUGCCCAUUGAAACAUAUUGCAAAUGGACAGUACAUUUGCAAUAAGAUUAAACAGUGAUGAACCAUCACCAUUUUUUUUUCACGUUUUCUGAAAAGAGAGAUUGAUUCCUUCAUCCAACAUAGACCUGCACAACCUUCCAAUUUAUUUAAUUUAAAUUGUUCUAAAGUAGUGUUUAAUUUAUAUAUUGAAAAGUUUCUGGUUUGCUCAGAUAAAUUAUUCAAUUUCUUUGAAUCGAAAUGUUAUUUUGCCUAUUUCCCUUUUCUUCCGGGAUAACACAUAGAUGGUGGACAGUCUAUUCCUCGUACAGACUGAAUGUAUGUCUCUUACCAACUGAAUACUGUUUAAAUGGUGUACAUUGUGAAAUAAAAUAAGCAUGCUUUUUGCUAUUAUCUUGUUGAUAACGUGAGCAUUAUGCAUGAAGAACCAUAUCUCCACCUUAAAACGAUCCUUGCUGCUUUGUUCUGUGCAAUCUGCAGCCUCCUAAUUUCACUUG